rnacentral:rRNA from 1 species
GCCCAGCCGUAAACUUUAAAUUACACCUACAUCGCCUGAGAACUACGAGCAAAGCUUAAAACUCAAAGGACUUGACGGUACCCCAUAUCCCCCUAGAGGAGCCUGUCCUAUAAUCGAUAACCCCCGUUUAACCUCACCAUUUUUAGCUAAUCAGCCUGUAUACCUCCGUCGCCAGCUUACCACGUGAGCGAAAUUUAGUGAGCUUGAUGCUUUUACACCAACACGUCAGGUCAAGGUGCAGCAAAUGAAAUGGAAAGAGAUGGGCUACACUUUCUAAUGUAGAAAACACGAAAGACUUUAUGAAACCUAGUCUGAAGGCGGAUUUAGCAGUAAAAAGAAAUCAGAAUGUUCUCUUUAACUCGGCACUGGGGUGUGUACACACCGCCCGUCACCCUCUUCAUAAGCCAAAUUAAAGUACUUAACUAAUUAACGCGCAAUAGAAGAGGCAAGUCGUAACAUGGUAAGUAUACCGGAAGGUGUGCUUGGCAAA